rnacentral:sRNA from 1 species
AAGUUGCCCCGAUUGCAGCGGCAUCCUUUUUUGUGGCGGCGAAGCGAAGCGGAGCCGCCGUAAAAAAGAUACAGCGGAAAGCGGGAAUUGCU